UACGAAGGGGGCUAGCGUUGCUCGGAUUUACUGGGCGUAAAGCGCACGUAGGCGGAUUGUUAAGUUGGGGGUGAAAUCCCAGGGCUCAACCCUGGAACUGCCUUCAAUACUGGCAAUCUAGAGUCCGGAAGAGGUGAGUGGAACUCCUAGUGUAGAGGUGGAAUUCGUAGAUAUUAGGAAGAACACCAGGGGCGAAGGCGGCGCAGUGGUCCGGUACUGACGCUGAGGUGCGAAAGCGUGGGGAGCAAACAGG
rnacentral:rRNA from 1 species